ensembl:lncRNA
UGAAUGUUUAAUAAUAAUAAUAAUAAUAAUAAUAAUAAUAAAAGAGGGUUGGAAGAGACCUCUUGGGCCAUUUCCCUUCUACCUUUGUGCACCAAAAGCACAAGUAAAGCACCCCUGACAGAUGGCCACCCAACCUCAAUGUUAUUAAUAAUAAUAAUAAUAAUAGUAAUAAUAAUAAUCAUCAUCAUCAUAAUCAUCAUCAUCAUCAUCAUCAUCAUCAUCAUAUAUCACACAGUCCUAAAUGCUUGGGAAGUGUUAGACUUGUGAUUUUCUGAUACGAAAUCCAGCAUAUAGAUCUCAUUUGCCGUGUUAUACUGUGUCCUUCUGUCAAUAAUAAUAAUAAUAAUAAUAAUAAUAAUAAUAAUAAUAAUAAUAAUAAUAAUAAUAUGACAACAAUGACAAAUGUUCGGCAGUGGCAUUCAAGAAGGGAAAAAUCAUUGAAAGUGAGGGCAUAAAUAUGCCUAAUGGCCAAACAAUAAAGUGUCACCAGCCAGAGGCCUAUAAGUAUUUGGGCAUAUUACAGCUGGACAACAUCAAGCAUGAACAUAUGAAAACUGUGGUCAGUAAAGAAUACACACAAAGGGUCAGAAAAAUUCUCAAAAGCAAGCUCAAUGGAGGCAACACCAUCAAGGCCAUAAACACCUGGGCCAUACCUGUCAUAAGAUAUACUGCUGGCAUCAUAAACUGGACACAGAUGGAACUGGACAAUUUGGACAGAAAAACAAGAAAACUCAUGACCAUUCAUCAUUCACUGCACCCUCGCAGUGAUGUUGACCGGCUAUAUCUGCCUAGAAGAUCAGGGGGCAGAGGACUUUUACAAGUAAAACAAGCAGUCAAAGAAGAAGAACAUGCCCUGACAGAAAAUGUAAAGCAAAGUGAAGAACCUGCUUUGAUUGAAGUCAAAAAUCAGAAACUCCUCAAAGCACAGCAGACAAAAAACCAGUACAAGAAAGCCACACUACAAACUAGAGCUGACAGCUGGCACAACAAAACAUUGCAUGGAAAGUUCCUUGACAAAAUUGAAGGAAAAGCUGAUAAGGAGAAGACCUGGCUCUGGCUCACGAAUGGGACCCUGAAGAAGGAGACAGAAGGCCUGAUCCUUGCAGCCCAGGAGCAAGCCAUCAGAACAAAUGCAAUUAAGGCCAAGAUCGAAAAAUCAGCUGUUGACCCAAAGUGCAGACUGUGCAAGGAAACUGACGAAACCAUUGAUCAUAUCCUCAGCUGCUGUAAGAAAAUUGCACAGACAGACUACAAACAGAGGCACAACUAUGUGGCCCAAAUGAUUCAUUGGAACUUAUGCCUCAAGUACCACCUCCCAGCAGCAAAGAACUGGUGGGAUCACAAACCUGCAAAAGUAUUGGAAAAUGAGCACGCAAAGAUAUUGUGGGACUUCCGAAUCCAGACUGACAAAGUUCUGGAACACAACACACCAGACAUCACAGUUGUGGAAAAGAAAAAGGUUUGGAUCAUUGAUGUUGCCAUCCCAGGUGACAGUCACACUGACGAAAAACAACAGGAAAAACUCAGCCGCUAUCAGGACCUCAAGAUUGAACUUCAAAGACUCUGGCAGAAACCAGUGCAGGUGGUCCUGGUGGUGAUGGGCACAUUGGGUGCCGUGCCAAAAGAUCUCAGCCGGCAUUUGGAAACAAUAGACAUUGACAAAAUUACGAUCUGCCAGCUGCAAAAGGC